rnacentral:sRNA from 1 species
AGGCCGGCACGAUACUCCCUAUAACUAUUCCUUUUGAUUCAGUAGAUUUCAAAUAUCGUGCCGGCUUUCUUCAAUUAAAAAACAUUCUUCAGUUGUCUC